rnacentral:lncRNA from 13 species
AUGAGAAGGAGAAGAGAUAUAGGCCUACCUAUCGGUACACCACCAAAAAACACCACAAACGAGACGAAGAGAAUCUGGAAGCCCACACACAGAUACCACCACAAAAAACACCACAAACGUGAUGAGGAGCUUUCAGAAGAAGGGAGAGAGGAGCCAGAUGAAGAACGCAGCCAAGAGUCCUGGAGUCUGGGUGAUGGAAAGGAGAAGAGAGAUGAGGAUAUGAUGAGAGAUGAGGAUGAGAGAGAAAAGAGGAUUUGGAAACCAACUCACAGGUACCACCACAAGAAGCAUCACAAACGCAAUGGGGAUUCCUCAGAGGAGGAAGACGAGGAACGAAGGAGUGAUUCGGACGAACACGAGGAGGAGAAGAGGCAUGGAGAUGCCGAGGAGGACGAGAGACAGAGGGAUAGGCAGGAGGCUCUGAGGUACCUGGCAGAGAAGAGUCGUCUCCUGGGGGAGGGUGAGGUGUAUGAGAAACGUUCUCCCUGGGCUUACAGAGGAUACUACCACCCCGCCUGGUGGAAGAGAAGCAUAGACCCACACACACCAUUGCAUAAGAUGGAGGAACUGGCGAAGUUGCUGUCCUAUAAGAAUCACCAGCUGGCCAGCCAAUCAGAGCUGGCAGACGAGGAAAAGAAGAGGAGCGUAUCUCUAACCCCAGAGGAGGAGAAGGAGCUGGAGAACAUAGCAGCUAUGGACAUGGAGUUACAGAAGAUAUCUGAGAAGAUGCAGGAGGACAGGAGUGACUAGAUAGACAGGCAGAGGCAUGCAGACAGGGAUGCUAAGAUACACAAGGUUAGCACACUGAGAUAGUAACAAAAGACUAGAGAGAGAUAGACUGACCCGUCAGCGUUCCGGACAAAAAAACACUAACAUCCAAGAGCCUUGCUGCAAAUUCUGCUGUGUUAACCUUUGUACCUGUGAAAUGUUGAUGUUCUCAAAAGAGACUGUUUAGUUAAUAUAUAAGUAUAAUAGUAUAAAGAUAAAGUAGAUGCUUUGCUAAUUUGUCCGGAUAUCUAUAUAUUUAAAGUACGCAUGACAGUUUUGUUCAAACUUUUGAAUGGUUGUUUGUUUGUUCAGUCUGCAUUUAAUAAAAUGAAUUAUUCUGGGACCAAAAUGAACACGUAUCUCAGGAUUUUAAUACCUCAGCAACACAGUUGGUUAUCAAGAGUAAUAGUAUUUUAACAGUACUGUAUUUAUUGAAAUUCCCACUAAUGCAGCACAGUAAGGAGGCUGUGAUAGCAAAAGGCUGCUUUACAUCACGGCACUUUCUGCUAAAAGAGUAUAAAAUACAAACAAAAUGCUACAUUUGGGAGCUUAGAGCUUUGGAGAGCAGCUCCAGGGCUGAAUAACAACCAUGAUCGUUUAUAACUGGUAGCAGGAGGGAGAGACACUUCAGUGAUUCUAUCCCCACCUCCACAAGUACAUGUAAAUCAAGUCAUCAAUGAUUUAAAUUAGACAAACUCUGGGCACCCCUCAAUAGUGUCAUCCCUCUGUGGUCUCUGAGUUCGUCUCUUUGUGGCCGGCUCUUCUGCUGUAGUUGAGCCUGUCUUUAGUUGUAUCUGUAGUAACGGUCAUCCCGGAGAGGAGGCAAGCCCCGCCCCCACUCAUCAGCAGCACAGGGUGGUCCUGUUAGGCAACACCUACACACAGAGACAGUGAGGUCAGAGGUCGUGCAGAUAUAACAAACAUGGACGCUUCCACAGAGACAGUUGUAUAAGACCGCAGUGAACACUACCGGGGUGAACACGACUGCGGUCAACACGACCGCGGUGAACACGACCGGGGUGAACACGACCGGGGUGAACACGACCGUGGUGAACACGACGCGGUGAACACGACCGGGGUGAACACGACAGAGGUGAACACGACCGGGGUGAACACAACAGAGGUGAACACGACCGGGGUGAACACGGCCGCGGUGAACACGGCCGCGGUGAACACGACCGCGGUGAACACGACAGCUGUGA